UACGUAGGGUGCGAGCGUUAAUCGGAAUUACUGGGCGUAAAGCGUGCGCAGGCGGUCUGUUAAGACCGAUGUGAAAUCCCCCGGGCUUAACCUGGGAACUGCAUUGGUGACUGGCAGGCUUUUGAGUGUGGCAGAGGGAGGUAGAAUUCCACGUGUAGCAGUGAAAUGCGUAGAGAUGUGGAGGAAUACCGAUGGCGAAGGCAGCCUCCUGGGCCAACACUGACGCUCAUGCACGAAAGCGUGGGGAGCAAACAGG
rnacentral:rRNA from 1 species